GGAUGUGAGGGCGAUCUGGCUUCAACAUCUGUCACCCCACUUCACUGAUCGGCAGGGUUGAUCAUCUGACCUGGCUGGCUAGGCAGGUGUCCCCAUCCCCCCUCACCACUCCAUGUGCAUCCCUCUGGAAGCUGCUCACUCGGUCAAAGAGGAUGACCAUCCCAACAGAGGAGGACCAUUCUUUGGUCAAGGGUAUAUGAGCAGCUACGCUCCCCUGCUAGAACCGCCAAACAAGCUCUCAAGAAGGCCUGAGUGGUUUGGCUACCUACAUCAUCAACAUCAACAGCACCUAGUAUGU
ensembl:misc_RNA 7SK 7SK RNA